rnacentral:rRNA from 1 species
UACGAAGGGGGCUAGCGUUGUUCGGCUUUACUGGGCGUAAAGCGCACGUAGGCGGAUCGAUCAGUCAGGGGUGAAAUCCCAGGGCUCAACCCUGGAACUGCCUUUGAUACUGUCGAUCUGGAGUAUGGAAGAGGUGAGUGGAAUUCCGAGUGUAGAGGUGAAAUUCGUAGAUAUUCGGAGGAACACCAGUGGCGAAGGCGGCUCACUGGUCCAUUACUGACGCUGAGGUGCGAAAGCGUGGGGAGCAAACAGG